AAGACCAUACUCGUUAGGAUCAUUUCUACAGUAUGUGUCCCACCUUAGUCUUCUAAACAAGACAACCGAUUCAGGCACGAUGAUGAGGAUGUCCUUUGUUCCUGAGCAUGAAACUCGCUUCUCACGAAGCUUUGAUGACUGUUCACCCUUUGGCUUGUCCAUCGGGGAGGGAGCAAAGGCAGCCUGAGUGGC